GACGAACGCUGGCGGCGUGCUUAACACAUGCAAGUCGAACGGAAAGGCCCUGCUUUUGUGGGGUGCUCGAGUGGCGAACGGGUGAGUAACACGUGAGUAACCUGCCCUUGACUUUGGGAUAACUUCAGGAAACUGGGGCUAAUACCGGAUAGGAGCUCCUGCUGCAUGGUGGGGGUUGGAAAGUUUCGGCGGUUGGGGAUGGACUCGCGGCUUAUCAGCUUGUUGGUGGAGUAGUGGCUUACCAAGGCUUUGACGGGUAGCCGGCCUGUGAGGGUGACCGGCCACAUUGGGACUGAGAUACGGCCCAGACUCCUACGGGAGGCAGCAGUGGGGAAUAUUGCACAAUGGGCGGAAGCCUGAUGCAGCAACGCCGCGUGCGGGAUGACGGCCUUCGGGUUGUAAACCGCUUUCGCCUGUGACGAAGCGUGAGUGACGGUAAUGGGUAAAGAAGCACCGGCUAACUACGUG
rnacentral:rRNA from 1 species